rnacentral:rRNA from 1 species
AACGAACGCUGGCGGCAUGCCUAACACAUGCAAGUCGAACGAUGCCUUCGGGCAUAGUGGCGCACGGGGUGCGUAACGCGUGGGAAUCUGCCCUUGGGUUCGGAAUAACUCAGAGAAAUUUGAGCUAAUACCGGGUGAUGACGUAAGUCCAAAGAUUUAUCGCCCAAGGAUGAGCCCGCGUAAAGAUUAGCUAGUUGGUGGGGUAAAGGCCUACCAAGGCGACGAUCUUUAGCUGGUCUGAGAGGAUGAUCAGCCACACUGGGACUGAGACACGGCCCAGACUCCUACGGGAGGCAGCAGUGGGGAAUAUUGGACAAUGGGCGAAAGCCUGAUCCAGCAAUGCCGCGUGAGUGAUGAAGGCC